CCGCCUGCCCUGUGACUAUGUGUUUAACGGCCGCGGUAUCUUGACCGUGCAAAGGUAGCGCAAUCAAUUGUCUUUUAAAUGGGGACCUGUAUGAAUGGCGUAACGAGGGCUUAACUGUCUCCUUUUCUUGGUCAAUGAAAUUGAUCUCCCCGUGCAGAAGCGGGGAUAAACACAUARGACGAGRRGAGCCUGUGGAGCUUUAGACGUUAGAACAGCUUAAUGUUAAACUGUACUAUCAGAGCACAGUAACCCWAAGGAUUCUGUUCCUAUGUCUUUGGUUGGGGCGACUAUGGAGUAAAAAAUAACCUCCAUGUGGAAUAAGAGUACUACUCAUUAAAAUUCAUGGUUACCGCCCUAUUU
rnacentral:rRNA from 1 species